rnacentral:rRNA from 1 species
GUGCAGCCGCCGCGGUAAUACGGAGGGUGCAAGCGUUAUCCGGAUUCAUUGGGUUUAAAGGGUGCGCAGGCGGAUACUUAAGUCAGUGGUGAAAUCCCGGGGCUCAACCCCGGAACUGCCAUUGAUACUGAAUAUCUGGAAUACGGUUGAAGUGGGCGGAAUGUAGCAUGUAGCGGUGAAAUGCAUAGAGAUGCUACAGAACACCGAUCGCGAAGGCAGCUCACUAAGCCGAUAUUGACGCUCAGGCACGAAAGCGUGGGGAGCGAACAGGAUUAGAUACCCUGGUAGUCCACGCCGUAAACGAUGAUAACUCGUUGUUGGCGACACACAGUCAGCGACUAAGCGAAAGCGAUAAGUUAUCCACCUGGGGAGUACGAUCGCAAGGUUGAAACUCAAAUGAAUUGGCGG